UACGUAGGGGGCUAGCGUUGUCCGGAAUCAUUGGGCGUAAAGCGCGUGUAGGCGGUCCGGUAAGUCCGCUGUGAAAGUCGGGGGCUCAACCCUCGGAUGCCGGUGGAUACUGUCGGGCUUGAGUACGGAAGAGGCGAGUGGAAUUCCUGGUGUAGCGGUGAAAUUGCGGCAGAGUAUCAAGGAGGAACACCAAUUAGCGAAGGCAGCUCGCUGGGACGUUACUGACGCUGAGACGCGAAAGCGUGGGGAGGCAAACAGG
rnacentral:rRNA from 1 species